UUAAGCGACUAAGCGUACACGGUGGAUGCCCUGGCAGUCAGAGGCGAUGAAGGACGUGCUAAUCUGCGAUAAGCGUCGGUGAGGUGAUAUGAACCGUUAUAACCGGCGAUUUCCGAAUGGGGAAACCCAGUGUGUUUCGACACACUAUCAUUAACUGAAUCCAUAGGUUAAUGAGGCGAACCGGGGGAACUGAAACAUCUAAGUACCCCGAGGAAAAGAAAUCAACCGAGAUUCCCCCAGUAGCGGCGAGCGAACGGGGAGGAGCCCAGAGCCUGAAUCAGUGUGUGUGUUAGUGGAAGCGUCUGGAAAGGCGCGCGAUACAGGGUGACAGCCCCGUACACAAAAAUGCACAUGCUGUGAGCUCGAUGAGUAGGGCGGGACACGUGGUAUCCUGUCUGAAUAUGGGGGGACCAUCCUCCAAGGCUAAAUACUCCUGACUGACCGAUAGUGAACCAGUACCGUGAGGGAAAGGCGAAAAGAACCCCGGCGAGGGGAGUGAAAAAGAACCUGAAACCGUGUACGUACAAGCAGUGGGAGCCUCUUAAUGGGGUGACUGCGUACCUUUUGUAUAAUGGGUCAGCGACUUAUAUUCUGUAGCAAGGUUAACCGAAUAGGGGAGCCGAAGGGAAACCGAGUCUUAACUGGGCGUUAAGUUGCAGGGUAUAGACCCGAAACCCGGUGAUCUAGCCAUGGGCAGGUUGAAGGUUGGGUAACACUAACUGGAGGACCGAACCGACUAAUGUUGAAAAAUUAGCGGAUGACUUGUGGCUGGGGGUGAAAGGCCAAUCAAACCGGGAGAUAGCUGGUUCUCCCCGAAAGCUAUUUAGGUAGCGCCUCGUGAAUUCAUCUCCGGGGGUAGAGCACUGUUUCGGCAAGGGGGUCAUCCCGACUUACCAACCCGAUGCAAACUGCGAAUACCGGAGAAUGUUAUCACGGGAGACACACGGCGGGUGCUAACGUCCGUCGUGAAGAGGGAAACAACCCAGACCGCCAGCUAAGGUCCCAAAGUCAUGGUUAAGUGGGAAACGAUGUGGGAAGGCCCAGACAGCCAGGAUGUUGGCUUAGAAGCAGCCAUCAUUUAAAGAAAGCGUAAUAGCUCACUGGUCGAGUCGGCCUGCGCGGAAGAUGUAACGGGGCUAAACCAUGCACCGAAGCUGCGGCAGCGACGCUUAUGCGUUGUUGGGUAGGGGAGCGUUCUGUAAGCCUGUGAAGGUGGCCUGUGAGGGUUGCUGGAGGUAUCAGAAGUGCGAAUGCUGACAUAAGUAACGAUAAAGCGGGUGAAAAGCCCGCUCGCCGGAAGACCAAGGGUUCCUGUCCAACGUUAAUCGGGGCAGGGUGAGUCGACCCCUAAGGCGAGGCCGAAAGGCGUAGUCGAUGGGAAACAGGUUAAUAUUCCUGUACUUGGUGUUACUGCGAAGGGGGGACGGAGAAGGCUAUGUUGGCCGGGCGACGGUUGUCCCGGUUUAAGCGUGUAGGCUGGUUUUCCAGGCAAAUCCGGAAAACCAAGGCUGAGGCGUGAUGACGAGGCACUACGGUGCUGAAGUGACAAAUGCCCUGCUUCCAGGAAAAGCCUCUAAGCAUCAGGUAACAUCAAAUCGUACCCCAAACCGACACAGGUGGUCAGGUAGAGAAUACCAAGGCGCUUGAGAGAACUCGGGUGAAGGAACUAGGCAAAAUGGUGCCGUAACUUCGGGAGAAGGCACGCUGAUAUGUAGGUGAAGCGACUUGCUCGUGGAGCUGAAAUCAGUCGAAGAUACCAGCUGGCUGCAACUGUUUAUUAAAAACACAGCACUGUGCAAACACGAAAGUGGACGUAUACGGUGUGACGCCUGCCCGGUGCCGGAAGGUUAAUUGAUGGGGUUAGCGGUAACGCGAAGCUCUUGAUCGAAGCCCCGGUAAACGGCGGCCGUAACUAUAACGGUCCUAAGGUAGCGAAAUUCCUUGUCGGGUAAGUUCCGACCUGCACGAAUGGCGUAAUGAUGGCCAGGCUGUCUCCACCCGAGACUCAGUGAAAUUGAACUCGCUGUGAAGAUGCAGUGUACCCGCGGCAAGACGGAAAGACCCCGUGAACCUUUACUAUAGCUUGACACUGAACAUUGAGCCUUGAUGUGUAGGAUAGGUGGGAGGCUUUGAAGUGUGGACGCCAGUCUGCAUGGAGCCGACCUUGAAAUACCACCCUUUAAUGUUUGAUGUUCUAACGUUGGCCCCUAAUCGGGGUUGCGGACAGUGUCUGGUGGGUAGUUUGACUGGGGCGGUCUCCUCCUAAAGAGUAACGGAGGAGCACGAAGGUUGGCUAAUCCUGGUCGGACAUCAGGAGGUUAGUGCAAUGGCAUAAGCCAGCUUGACUGCGAGCGUGACGGCGCGAGCAGGUGCGAAAGCAGGUCAUAGUGAUCCGGUGGUUCUGAAUGGAAGGGCCAUCGCUCAACGGAUAAAAGGUACUCCGGGGAUAACAGGCUGAUACCGCCCAAGAGUUCAUAUCGACGGCGGUGUUUGGCACCUCGAUGUCGGCUCAUCACAUCCUGGGGCUGAAGUAGGUCCCAAGGGUAUGGCUGUUCGCCAUUUAAAGUGGUACGCGAGCUGGGUUUAGAACGUCGUGAGACAGUUCGGUCCCUAUCUGCCGUGGGCGCUGGAGAACUGAGGGGGGCUGCUCCUAGUACGAGAGGACCGGAGUGGACGCAUCACUGGUGUUCGGGUUGUCAUGCCAAUGGCACUGCCCGGUAGCUAAAUGCGGAAGAGAUAAGUGCUGAAAGCAUCUAAGCACGAAACUUGCCCCGAGAUGAGUUCUCCCUGAGACUUAGAGUCUCCUGAAGGAACGUUGAAGACGACGACGUUGAUAGGCCGGGUGUGUAAGCGCAGCGAUGCGUUGAGCUAACCGGUACUAAUGAACCGUGAGGCUUAACCUU
rnacentral:rRNA from 1 species